rnacentral:rRNA from 1 species
UAGGGAAUCUUCCGCAAUGGACGCAAGUCUGACGGAGCAACGCCGCGUGAGUGAAGAAGGAUUUCGGUUCGUAAAACUCUGUUGUUAGAGAAGAACAGCGCAUAGAGUAACUGUUAUGCGUGUGACGGUAUCUAACCAGAAAGCCACGGCUAACUACGUGCCAGCAGCCGCGGUAAUACGUAGGUGGCAAGCGUUGUCCGGAUUUAUUGGGCGUAAAGCGAGCGCAGGCGGUCAAUUAAGUCUGAUGUGAAAGCCCCCGGCUCAACCGGGGAGGGUCAUUUGAAACUGGUUGACUUGAGUGCAGAAGAGGAGAGUGGAAUUCCAGGUGUGGCGGUGAAAUGCGUAGAUAUAUGGAGAAACACCAGUGGCGAAGGCGACUCUCUGGUCUGUAACUGACGCUGAGGCUCGAAAGCGUGGGUAGCAAACAGG